GAACUCACCUUGGCAGCUCAUAUGCUAACAUAGGAACAAUAAAGAGAAAAUUAGUGAAGCCCCUUUGCAAGGAUGACAUGCAAAUUUGUGAAAGACAGACAGAAGGA